AGAGUUUGAUCAUGGCUCAGAACGAACGCUGGCGGCGUGCCUAACACAUGCAAGUCGUACGAGAAAAUCCGCUUCGGCGGGUGAGUAAAGUGGCGCACGGGUGAGUAACGCGUGGAUAAUCUGCCUUUAAGCGGGGAAUAACUUACCGAAAGGUGGGCUAAUACCCCAUAAAGCUAUGGAGCUCCGGUUUUCAUAGCCAAAGAGAGCCUCUGCAUGCAAGCCCUCACCUAGAGAUGAGUCCGCGUACCAUUAGCUAGUUGGUGGGGUAAUGGCCUACCAAGGCGACGAUGGUUAGCUGGUCUGAGAGGAUGAUCAGCCACACUGGAACUGAGACACGGUCCAGACUCCUACGGGAGGCAGCAGUGAGGAAUAUUGCGCAAUGGGGGCAACCCUGACGCAGCAACGCCGCGUGAGUGAGGAAGGUUUUCGGAUCGUAAAGCUCUGUCGGGUGGGAAGAAAUGUAUGGAGGUUAACAGCCUUUGUACUUGACGGUACCGCCAAAGGAAGCACCGGCUAACUCCGUGCCAGCAGCCGCGGUAAUACGGGGGGUGCUAGCGUUGUUCGGAAUCAUUGGGCGUAAAGAGCGUGUAGGCGGCUAGGCAAGUCAGAUGUGAAAUCCCUGGGCUUAACCCAGGACGUGCAUUUGAAACUGCUUGGCUUGAGUAGGGAAGAGGGAAGUGGAAUUCCUGGUGUAGAGGUGAAAUUCGUAGAUAUCAGGAGGAACACCGGUGGCGAAGGCGACUUCCUGGUCCUAUACUGACGCUGAGACGCGAGAGCGUGGGGAGCAAACAGGAUUAGAUGCCCUGGUAGUCCACGCCGUAAACGAUGUUCACUAGGUGUUGAGGGUAUUGACCCCUUCAGUGCCGAAGCUAACGCAUUAAGUGAACCGCCUGGGGAGUACGGUCGCAAGAUUAAAACUCAAAUGAAUUGACGG
rnacentral:rRNA from 1 species